rnacentral:rRNA from 1 species
UCUAAUCAUAGCUGAGAAAGAAACCAACCGGGAUUGCCUUAGUAACGGCGAGUGAAGCGGCAAAAGCUCAAAUUUGAAAUCUGGUACCUUCGGUGCCCGAGUUGUAAUUUGGAGAGGGCAACUUUGGGGCCGUUCCUUGUCUAUGUUCCUUGGAACAGGACGUCAUAGAGGGUGAGAAUCCCGUGUGGCGAGGAGUGCGGUUCUUUGUAAAGUGCCUUCGAAGAGUCGAGUUGUUUGGGAAUGCAGCUCUAAGUGGGUGGUAAAUUCCAUCUAAAGCUAAAUAUUGGCGAGAGACCGAUAGCGAACAAGUACAGUGAUGGAAAGAUGAAAAGAACUUUGAAAAGAGAGUGAAAAAGUACGUGAAAUUGUUGAAAGGGAAGGGCAUUUGAUCAGACAUGGUGUUUUGUGCCCUCUGCUCCUUGUGGGUAGGGGAAUCUCGCAUUUCACUGGGCCAGCAUCAGUUUUGGUGGCAGGAUAAAUCCAUAGGAAUGUAGCUUGCCUCGGUAAGUAUUAUAGCCUGUGGGAAUACUGCCAGCUGGGACUGAGGACUGCGACGUAAGUCAAGGAUGCUGGCAUAUGGUAUUUGCGCCGUCUGAACACGAAACAA